AGAGCUGUAGUGGUGAUCAGAGAGUGUUCAGUCCUUUAACACACACUGACACACAGCACAAUGAUGAUGUCACUCAUUCUACUGCUGGGGACACUGGGACUCCUCACUCAGGAAUCAUUUGGGGAAAUAAUCCUGACUCAGACUCCAGGAUCUCAGUCUCUUACAGCAGGACAGACUGUUACUAUCAGCUGCAGGGCCAGUGAGAGUGUUAGCAAUUAUCUCCACUGGUACCUACAGAAACCUGGAGAAGCUCCUAUACUCCUGAUCUAUUAUGCAUCAAACCGUCAGACUGGAGUUCCAGAUCGAUUCAGUGGUAGUGGGUCUGGUACAGAAUUUACUCUAAAAAUCACUGGAGUCCAGGCUGAAGAUGCAGGAGAUUACUACUGUCAGCAGGGUUACACUCCAUUCACACAGUGUUAGAAUGCUGUACAAAAA